rnacentral:rRNA from 1 species
CAGUCGCCACGGGAAUACAGAGGGUGCGAGCGUUAAUCGGAUUUACUGGGCGUAAAGCGUGCGUAGGCGGCUUUUUAAGUCGGAUGUGAAAUCACUGAGCUUAACUUAGGAAUUGCAUUCGAUACUGGGAAGCUAGAGUAUGGGAGAGGAUGGUAGAAUUCCAGGUGUAGCGGUGAAAUGCGUAGAGAUCUGGAGGAAUACCGAUGGCGAAGGCAGCCAUCUGGCCUAAUACUGACGCUGAGGUACGAAAGCAUGGGGAGCAAACAGGAUUAGAGACCCCGGUAGUCCCUGUCUCUUAUAC